rnacentral:rRNA from 1 species
UACAGGGGGGGGCAAGCGUUGUUCGGAAUUACUGGGCGUAAAGGGUCAGUAGGCGGCCAACUAAGUCCGACGUGAAAUCCCAAAGCUUAACUUUGGAACUGCGUCGGAUACUGGAUGGCUUGAAUUCGGGAGAGGGAUGCAGAAUUCCAGGUGUAGCGGUGAAAUGCGUAGAUAUCUGGAGGAACACCGGUGGCGAAGGCGGCAUCCUGGACCGGCAUUGACGCUGAGGCGCGAAAGCCAGGGGAGCAAACGGG